CUCUCUUGGGGUUUUGCUCACAGGAGCUCAGCCCCGUGCAGCCAGGGAUGUUCUCUAACGCGCCGUGAUUUACGUUACCCGGGUGAGAAUCUGGACGUGCUCCAGCUGGAGAAUCUGGACGAAAUUCUGCUUGUUCUCCCAAGGCUUUCUCAGUCCUUCCACACUAGCAAGAGUAGGAACAACCUCCGGGCCAAAUCAGCAGAGCUGACUCAGAACAGACGCAGGGAACCAUGCUGCUGAGUCAGGUGAACUUCAUUUAAAAAAA